UUAUGACAAUGUCGAUGAUGAUGAUGAAGAUGACGAAGAUGAUCAGGUUGUCAAUGAUGUUACUUUGUCAAUAUCAUCAUCAUCAUCAUCACUG
rnacentral:pre_miRNA from 1 species